UUGAACGCUGGCGGCAGGCCUAACACAUGCAAGUCGAGCGCGAAAACACUUCGGUGUGAGUAGAGCGGCGGACGGGUGAGUAAUGCUUGGGAAUCUGCCCAGUAGUGGGGGAUAACGUGUGGAAACGCACGCUAAUACCGCAUACGUCCUACGGGAGAAAGCAGGGGAUCUUCGGACCUUGCGCUAUUGGAUGAGCCCAAGUCGGAUUAGCUAGUUGGUGGGGUAAUGGCCUACCAAGGCGACGAUCCGUAGCUGGUCUGAGAGGAUGAUCAGCCACACUGGGACUGAGACACGGCCCAGACUCCUACGGGAGGCAGCAGUGGGGAAUAUUGCACAAUGGGCGAAAGCCUGAUGCAGCCAUGCCGCGUGUGUGAAGAAGGCUCUAGGGUUGUAAAGCACUUUCAGUAGGGAGGAAAAGCUUAAGGUUAAUAACCUUGAGCCCUGACGUUACCUACAGAAGAAGCACCGGCAAACUCCGUGCCAGCAGCCGCGGUAAUACGGAGGGUGCGAGCGUUAAUCGGAAUUACUGGGCGUAAAGCGCGCGUAGGUGGUUUGAUAAGCUAGCUGUGAAAGCCCCGGGCUCAACCUGGGAACUGCAGUUAGAACUGUCUGACUAGAGUACAGUAGAGGGUGGCGGAAUUUCCUGUGUAGCGGUGAAAUGCGUAGAUAUAGGAAGGAACAUCAGUGGCGAAGGCGGCCACCUGGACUGAUACUGA
rnacentral:rRNA from 1 species